AGGGUGUAAACGCUGCAGACUUGGUGUUGGAGGCCCUUUGGGGGCAUUCAGUGCCGGAGAGAAGUUGUUAAGUCUGCUACUUGGGAGUACGUCCGCAAGGAUGAAACUUAAAGGAAUUGGCGGGGAGCACCGCAACGGGAGGAGCGUGCGGUUUAAUUGGAUUCAACACCGUAAACUCACCAGCAGCGACUGUUACAUGAAAGUCAGGUUGAUGACCUUACUAGAUUUUCAGAGAGGAGGUGCAUGGCGUCAGUGACU
rnacentral:rRNA from 1 species